UCGAACGUGGUGCACGGCACACAUCCUCUCCCGCUGUGUCGAAGAGAACAAGCGUAGUAUGAGGCAAGUCCGGGGUUCGACUCCCCGCGUUCGAA